rnacentral:rRNA from 1 species
GACGAACGCUGGCGGCGUGCUUAACACAUGCAAGUCGAACGGGCCUUGUCCCCUUUUUUUUUGGGGGUGGGGUUAGUGGCGAACGGGUGAGUAACACGUGAGUAACCUGCCCCUCACUUCUGGAUAACCGCUUGAAAGGGUGGCUAAUACGGGGUGUUCUGGCCUGCUCGCAUGGGUGGGUUUGGAAAGAUUCGACCGGUUUUGGUUGUUUUGGUGGGGGAUGGGCUCGCGGCCUAUCAGCUUGUUGGUGGGUGAUGGCCUGCCAAGGCUUUGACGGGUAGCCGGCCUGAGAGGGUGGGCGGUCACACUGGGACUGAGACACGGCCCAGACUCCUACGGGAGGCAGCAGUGGGGAAUAUUGCACAAUGGGCGCAAGCCUGAUGCAGCGACGCCGCGUGAGGGAUGGAGGCCUUCGGGUUGUGAACCUCUUUCGCCAGUGAAGAAGGUCCUGCUCUUUGUGGUGGGGUUGACGGUAGCUGGGUUAAUGAAGCGCCGGCUAACUACGUG